AAACCGGAGGAAGGUGGGGAUGACGUCAAGUCAUCAUGGCCCUUACGGCCUGGGCUACACACGUGCUACAAUGGUCGGUACAAAGGGUUGCCAAGCCGCGAGGUGGAGCUAAUCCCACUAAAACCGAUCGUAGUCCGGAUCGCAGUCUGCAACUCGACUGCGUGAAGUCGGAAUCGCUAGUAAUCGUGAAUCAGAAUGUCACGGUGAAUAACGUUCCCGGGCCGUU
rnacentral:rRNA from 1 species